rnacentral:rRNA from 1 species
GACAUUCAGCGGGGCUCAAGCGCGGUGCCGAAGCCGCGGGCCCGGGACACUUCCCGGGCGGUAGGGGAGCAUUCCCUAGGCCUGCGAAGGCCGACCGAGAGGACGGCUGGAGGCAUGGGAAGGGACUCUGCCGGCAUAAGUAGCGAUAAGACGGGCGAGAACCCCGUCCGCCGAAAGACCAAGGUUUCCAACGCAAGGCCAGUCCGCGUUGGGUCAGCCGGCCCCUAAGCCGAGGCCGAAGGGCGUAGGCGAUGGGAAGCUGGUCAACAUUCCAGCGCCGCGCGCUGUCCGUUUGGACGACGCAGGGACGCAGGAGGGCAGCCGCGCAGGGCAAUGGAACGUCCUGCGAGGGGAGCCGCGGGGCGCGGCCCAGGGAAGUCCGGGCCGCGCGCAGCCCCGCGCCCCCGACGAAAAGCGGCGGGCCCACGCUGCCGAGAAAAGCUGCUAAGGAGGGCAGCGCGCGACCGUACCGCAAACCGACACAGGCAGUCGAGGAGAGGAUCCUCAGGCGCAUGAGAGAACUCUGCUGAAGGAACUCGGCAAAUUGGCCCCGUAACUUAGGGAGAAGGGGCGCCCCGGUAGGGUUCACAGCCCGAGGGGGCGGCACAGAAAUGUCCCAGGCGACUGUUUAGCAAAAACACAGGUCUCUGCGAACUCCAGAGAGGAGGUAUAGGGGCUGACGCCUGCCCGGUGCCGGAAGGUCAAGAGGAGCGGUCAGCCGCAAGGCGAAGCUGCGAAUUCAAGCCCCGGUGAACGGCGGCCGUAACUAUAACGGUCCUAAGGUAGCGAAAUUCCUUGUCGGGUAAGUUCCGACCUGCACGAAUGGCGUAACGAUCUGGGAACUGUCUCCAGCAGAGGCUCAGCGAACUUGUAGCACCGGUGAAGAUGCCGGUUACCCGCACUUAGACGGAAAGACCCCGUGCACCUUUACUACAGCCUGGCGUUGAGGCAGGCAUGGAGCUGUGCAGGAUAGGUGGGAGGCUUAGAGGCCGGCUCGUCAGGGUCGGCGGAGCCGCCGUUGAGAUACCACCCUGCGCCAUGCCGGCCCCUAACCCGCGCCCGUCACCCGGGCGGGGGACAGCGCCAGGCGGGUAGUUUGACUGGGGCGGUCGCCUCCCAAAGAGUAACGGAGGCGCGCGAAGGUCCCCUCAGGCUGUUCGGAAACCAGCCGCAGAGCGCAAUGGUACAAGGGGGCCUAACUGCGAGGCGCACGCGCCGGGCAGUUGCGAAAGCAGGCCAUAGUGAUCCGGUGGCCCCGAAUGGAAGGGCCAUCGCUCAACGGAUAAAAGGUACGCCGGGGAUAACAGGCUUAUCUUCCCCAAGAGUCCAUAUCGACGGGAAGGUUGGCACCUCGAUGUCGACUCAUCGCAUCCUGGGGCUGGAGCAGGUCCCAAGGGUUCGGCUGUUCGCCGAUCAAUAGCGGUACGUGAGUUGGGUUCAGAACGUCGCGAGACAGUUCGGUCCCUAUCUAGUGUGGGCGCAGGAGAUUUGAGGGGGGCUGUCCCCAGUACGAGAGGACCGGGACGGGCGGGCCCCUGGUGUGCCAGCUGUGGCUCCAGCCGCAGCGCUGGGUGGCUAUGCCCGCGAGCGAUAAGCGCUGAAAGCAUCUAAGCGCGAAGCGCGCCCCAAGAUGAGAUCUCCCCACGAGGCCCGUCGCAGACCACGACGUUGAUAGGCCGCGCGUGCAAGCGCAGCGAUGCGUUCAGCCUAGCGGUACUAAUCGGCCCAUCGGCUUGCCC